UUAGACUGGCACAGAAACAUGAUCAAUUUACUGUAUUUAUCUGAUUUGCUGUGUCAUUCUUCUCUUCUUAUUUUAUCUUUAUGUAAUAUUUUUGAAGCCUGGAAGAUUUUUAAAAACAUUAAUUUGUCAAAGAUUCAACUCAAAAGGGCUUUUCUGAGGCUCUGCAGAUGUUACGGUGCAAGAGCAGGGAAGAAUGCACUGUAUUUACACUUCUAUUCCUGUAACAGAUAAUCAAUACAUUGUGCUGUGCUCCGUAAAAAAAAAAAAAAGGAGGAAUAUGAGUGCCAAACUGUGAUGAUAAGCCCUUUGUGUCUUGAGUGCACUCAUUUUCUAAGGAUUAGGGGCUGUCCUUUAUCAGCCAGUUCACUUCUGAAGUCCGUGAUAGAUUGCUGCUUGCCCGUCUGCUCCAAACAGCAGCAACCUGAACUUUAUCAGCAAGGAAAACCCCAAACACAGCUGUCAGGAGGUAAUGCAGAAAUAUUGCUUUCUCAGGGCAGACCCUCACGGGCAAAUCUUACCUUUUUCUCUGGAGUAAUAAAAACUGCAAUAGAAAGAGGACUUUGGAAGUAAGGGAGCAGCUGUAAUGCAGAGAUGUCUGGGUGAGAUACCUGAGCAAAAGGAACCAGUUUGGCUCUGCCACUACGCUGCUCCACGUGGCUGAAAUUAUUCUGCUGGAAAACAAGGUGAAUCAGCUGCCGUUGCUCCAGUGCAACCUUUUACUGCAGGACUUACAGAGAACUGUGCAGGCUGCUGCUUGGGUGAUGACAUCCCAGAAACCACCCAGGUGGUUCGUGGUCUGGAGAAUGUUCUCUGACUGUGGAAAUGCAAACUGGAAUUCACCGCUGAAGGAUUCAAAGCACAUACACACGCGUAUAUCCAGGUAACGCUUUGGGAAGCCUGUGCCAAAGUUGUCUAACAGAGAUUUGUGUGCAAUACUACUUUGCAAUUCAGCAAAGCAUAAAUUGCUCCAUUUAAAAUAUGCUAGGCAAGGUCAUUGUGGAGCUCCUGGGGAGAUGCCAGCGCCUUCAGGACAUCCCAGCAAGUAUCAUUUUUCCGACACAGCAGAAAUAGGGAAAUGAUAAUGAAACACACUGGAAAAGUGCUCUUAGGUAGAAGAAAGCACUUCAAAAAUAAAAAGCAGGCCUUAACAAGACUGAUCCCUGCAUCAGUGGCCAUCCCUUACCAGAAAGGGAGUCAAUAGCAACUGGUUGUGUGAUUUUGUCUUAUUGACAGCUACCGAGCACUCUGGACACAGCAGUACAAAUACAGAACUGCCUGAUUAAGAUGUCUUUUAUUCUGUUGGUAAAUGUACUCAAUGAGGAGUCUAAUCCGCACUGCAAUGAAAGAUGUUUGCGUUCAGCUAAUUAAAUCUGAAGUUAUUCUUAAGAGAUGGAGAGAAUUGACAAGUCAUACGGUGAAAUUGUAAAGAGAAACAGCAAACGUUCUUUUAACAAGUCAAAACAAAUCCUCAGUUUCCUGGAGUCACGCAGCACGUACUGUACAGCUCCGGAGAAGCAGAGUGUGCAAGUCAUAAAAGAACCCCAGGCACUUCAUUACUGGCAAUGAUGUCAGCUCCCGCCGCUCCUCUGCAGAAACGACAACAAAACAAUGCUCGGGCCGCCGCUGCCGUCGGAGGCAGCUGCUCUCUAAAUGUCAUAGCUGGCUGAGCCUCCAAAAGGCUGAAGCACAACAAGGAAAGGGAUUCGGUGCAUUGGUUUUCCUCCGGGCGCUUUCAAGAACCUGGCAACUUGUGGCAUGGCAACCUGAAGGACCUGCCGGCGUUUCAAGUGGCUACGGUAUUUUACAUGCUGAGCUGCUUGAAAACAAAAGGAGAGCUCCCCAAGGAAAAUGACAAAACCUUGGCGCUCUCCUUGUGCAGUCAAGAGAGCCUGAGCGUUCAGUCAGUGCGGGAAGAGCACAUCACAUCUUCGCUUUCUGUCCCCGUGGGCAAAGGGGAAGCUCAUCCAUCCAGAUGUCCCGCAGCACAGAUGGACUGCCUGGCGGGAGGACUCAGAGGGAGAAGAUUACAGGAUCAUGGGACGUGUGAAAAAGAUGGAGAAGUACUCACUUCACACACGAGGGACUUUCAAAGGGCUUUGCACAUGAAAGUUAAAUUCAUAUCAGGAAGUAAAUUGAAAGGCCUGUAUAAAUUCUCUUAUAAAUAUGUUCUUGGACGUGGAUCAAGGAGCAAAGUUCUGUACGGAAACCGAUCUGACUGGAGAGUCAAGUUGAAGUAGACUCGUUUUUCAUUAAAAUAGUUUAGACAUGGAUUUAAUCAGAAAUAACUUUUUCUGAAUAGCAAAUGUGUAUAUAAACCCUCCGUUUGGCACAAUAUGGAAAAGCUUUUCAUAUUUUCCAGAGCACACAUGCUGCUGGAGCAGGUAUACAUUCCUCUCCUAGGGCAUAUGCAAGGUUUAAUCCUGAAACUAGUUAAGUCGUGCAAAAAUCCUCUGACUCUCAAAGCACCUUGAAUCAGGCCCCCCAUUUCCAGCUGUAUCAACCCACUAGGAAGUGCUCUCCUUUUCGUUUUGAUCUUUAUUCUGUUUCUGUGGCCUGCCUUUGGGUUACAGUUUAAUCCCAAAUACCUAGUAAAAAAGCACUUUCUCCAGAUCAAUUAAAAAAAUAAAAAGAAGUCAUGGUGUUUGUCCUCCUGGCCAGUAUUUCCAAACAACUAGCUCAUGGGACAGGAAUUUGGAACAGGGAGUGUCAACCACCCAGUUCAGAAGGAAGUCUAAUGAUAAAAAAAAUAAUCCCAGAUUGCAUAAUAAUAAAGGCUUGAAUUUGAAUGUUUCAUUGUAAGAGCACUUCAGUUGUUUAAACAUGCUCACUAGGGAGAUGAGCCCUCGGGAACAAACAUCAGCACGCAAGCACAGAUUUUUAGCUCAGUGAAUGGGUGCUCAGGAGAACCCCAAGGCAGAUUAAUAUUUGUGAAGAGAUCAAAUUCAUGCAGUACUUUGAACAGUUCAAGUGAUGAGAUAUGUAAGCAAUAUCUUUCUAAUUUGGCAGUCUCACAUAAGCUUGGUUAGCAAACACGAGAAUAAAUGAAAGUGCAAAUUUAAAUUUAAUUAAAAUAACAGUGGUUCUUUUGAGAAAAAGGACUAACUCCACAGUUUGAAAUGAGCAGCAAAGGGCACAACUUGUGCAGAACUAAGCAUUAAGGUACAAGGCAGGAGUUCUUCCACCCUGUACAGAUGGACCUCAGUCUUCUGAUUUACUGCCAACAGGUGUGUUAACAGCAGUGCCCUUGCAUCUCACAGGGCUGCAACACAAGGCACAGAUGUGGGCACGUCCAGGCAGACCUGAGCCUCACAACUGCAGCCCCUGAGCUCCCCACACAGAGGGGAAGUGCUUGAUUUGGCUUGUUAGACUUGCAGAGCUAUUAUUCACUUUACCGUGCACUUAUAUCCUUGCUUUGGUGAGGUUUGGGAAGGAAUGCUUGGAAAUGGAGUUUCGGAUCCUGCAUUGUUAUUUUUUUACCUGAAAAAAUAUUGGUAUGAAAAUGGAGUGUGCAUUUUCUUAAUAAAAAACUAUUUUCAGAUAGCAGAUGGCUUCUGAGGGUGCAGAGACUUACUAUUAAAAGCAAACUGAAAUAAAGAUUUUCAUAAGAAGUUCUAAAAUACCCAAAGGAAUAAUACCAGAGCGAGUUAUAGAUGUAAUUAUCCCAGAUGAGAACUACUGAAAUCUCUGUACCACUCCAUCAGGAGUUCUGCCAAGACUGUGCUUUUUCGGUAUCCCCGCCACUGCCAAACCAGUUAUCCAACAAAAGCCUAAGGUAGACUGGAUUUGGAAACGGGCAUAACUGAUAACUAAAAUCCUGCAGAAAUCUAAACAAAGUAUCUAAACUACCUUUACUGCACACAAUAGCACCACUCUGAAGUUUAAAAGCUGGUGCUGAUGAUCUUUUCAUAAAUCUGGACAUACUGUUUGCAAGUAGGGUGCCUCCAGUUUCGCAGAUGGGUAUGGUAAGGGACCUUCUGAAUCCUAAGAAAGGGGUGAGAGUAAAUAGGCUCAUCCUCCAUCUCAAAUGGAGCACGUUAGAAAAUCUGCAUGUGCAUAGUCAGUGGAUGACUGGUGACUAUUUAUCUAGUAGAUUUUUUUUUCUUUUAAUAUCUGCUGCUGGAAGCUGCUGAUGCCAGUCAAAAGUUUAAUUGCUAUCCCAGGGAAGCUGAAUUAGUGUACAGAGAACAAGCGAGACAUCCAAAGGUGUCUGCUAAAUGCAGUUUAUCACUAGGCUAUUGCCACAAAUUAUGGAUGCACAGACAAAAUUCAGUGUCUGUAGGCUUCCUAUGAGACCCACGUCAUUCCUUGUACUCUAUAGCCACAGCUGAACUUCUCUAUACAUAAAAAUUACCAGUAUGUUAACAGGACACAACUUAAGCAAUUCAACUCAUUUGGCCUCAAAGCCAAGAAGUCUGUAAACAACUGAAGCUCUGGAAAAAAGACUUCACAUAAAUUGAAAGUCAUUACCUGAAGUGGAUCAUUGCUAGGAUGGCUUAUAAUACUUUACUCCUCAAGCCUGUGAUCUUUACUGCUGUCAAGCCAUUAGAACUCAGCUAAAAUCAAGUAUGGUAAGAAAUUCAUAAGCUCUGUGAAUAUCAGUACAUUCAUCUUAUGAAAGGCAUUUAUGGAAAACAGAGGAAACCUUGUGAAAUAUGGUAGUUUAUUCCACUUAGACCAAGAAAGUGCAGCAGUAAAUAAAUGUAAUAAUAUGCAGUUUGAUGAAAUCAGAUCCUUUUCCCAUCUAUUUUCCAGGAAGCAACUUCACUGGCGCUUUGAUAUAACACUUUGUUAUGUGUUACUGCAGCACUCUCACAUUCCAGAAUUUGCAUCUCUUUCCCUCUGGCAAUACUGCUAACAAAACAAAAUGGGCUUUUUUUUUUUUAAAUGUGGAGUUGUACUAACCCAAUACAGACAUGUAUAUUUAAGUAGCUGUUUAAGUAAAAUCGCAGUGCAAGAACCAAAACCUGGAUUUUCAGAAACACAGGGGAUUGAACUUUCUGCCAAGUAUCUAGUCAACCUCGCUAGGAAGUUGUAUUUUAAAAGUUUAAAAUCCAAGCACACUCUGAAAAACUAAUAAUUUUUUUUGACCACUGAGGAGUGGUUGGGUGUAAAGACUUGGGCUGCAAGUGCACAUUGCAAGCUUUUAGAGCUAAUAAUUUGAAAACCUGCCUCUUGUUUACGUUUCUGAACUGUAUCUGGGUUCCUGAAAACCUGAUCUGAACUGUGAAUACACAACCUAAUUUCCAGACUACACCAGUAGCUCUUUCCACAGAUAGUUGCACAGCAAGCGUGACAUAGUGAAGCCACUUGGUUUGGGCAUAUUACCAUAGGUGCUAUUUCUUGAAAUGAUAAUUCAAUAUUUGUAACUAUUGGUGCUGGACAUAUUAAUAUACUCUUGUAUAUAUGGUUUCUCUUCAGUUACAGACGGGAUAUUUAAUAUCUGAGCAGCCAAUACAUAGGAGACUUGAAUCCUAUCGAACCUGGAGAUGUAUCAGGGCAGAUGUGUGGUCAUAACUGAGCCCACAUGUUACUCAUGAAUCAAGUACUGUGCGUUGUGCCCUCCAUUGCUGUUCAUUAAUAAGCCCUGCAUUUUGUCCUUCCUGAUCCUCUGCUGCCAGUCUCUCAUCCUUCCUCCCACGCUGGCAAUGGAGAAUGAGCUUGUGAUGAAUUUGAUGGAGAAAUUGCAGGCUGACAUUGUACAGCUUUUGUCAUGUAGGAGGUUGGACUAGAGAAUAAUUAGGAUUCUCCUCUUUUAAAUCUGUGAAUCCCAGAAACUAACCUGUGAACCUGGAGGAGACUUAAGCAAGCCAAUUAUCCCUGAGUAAUCUGAUCAGGUAGCAUUUAAGCUAUCUAGAUAUUAACAUAGUUGGACAUCACUGUUUUCAACAUUACUGCAAGGAUUUUCUUUUUAAACUCUUCACUGCAACUUUCAAAAAGCAGUAUUUGGCUGGGGUAUUGACACUUCAAAGUGUGAUUCCUGUAUAAGAAAGAAAUUACUAUGAAAGUUGUUCCGUCUUCCUCAAUCUGGAAAUGUACAUUCUUUGUUUGCUGUGGUUAGCAAACAAAGCAAGCUUCUACUGUUUUUUUAUUCCCAGUGGUUUUAUGAAUACUUAAUAAACUUACGGUGAGGCAAGCAGAAUUCUGUAUCAUUGCACACAUUGGCAUCAAGCUGGUCUCACAGAAUUUGAUUACUGAUGCAUCUAAAUUGGCUUAGAAAUCAAUUAGUUUAAAUUGCUGCAAACCCACCCCUGAUGUGGACACAUUUAGAAGAGGAUAUGACUGAUAAGGUUUGUUGUUUUUUUUUUUUUUAAACUUCAAUGAAAAUGCAGUAGAAAUAAGAGUGGCUCAAAGAGUUUAUCCCAAUUAACUGCAUCAGUUCACUGCUUUUAAACCGAUUUCCUUUCAUGCCAUGGUAUGCAAACAAGCUGUACAAUGUUAUCAGUUACAUCCAGUUGAAUCCACUGAAAACUGUACAGGUAUACUUUGACCUGAUGACCAUUUGUGAAGUUUAAGAGCCUUCUUCAGUUUUCUGAGUCCAAAUCAGUUCUCAGGGUUGCUCUAUUUGAAUUCAUUUGUGCCUGCAUGGUUUGGUUACUUUUAUGGCUAGGAUUUUUUAAAAGGUACAAUAAAACACAGAACACAAUGAACAGUUGUUACUAAUGAACUUUUCAAAGUUGACCCACACUGGGGAAGUUUCGCACUAUGAGACAGGUGUGUGUGUAUAUAUAUACAUACAUAUAUAUACACACACACACAUAUGGGACAGUUAUAUUCUCCAGUUAUUAGGGUACUGCUAUAAACAGCAAGUACAGAAAUGCAGGUACACCAGUUUUGCAUGUUACUCAACCCUAAGGCUGUUCAGAAGCUUUUAAGCAGGAAAGUCACUGCUCUGACAUAGACUAUUCAAAUGUAUUUAAUACAACCUGUAUGAGAUGGAAUUUACUAUUUUUGGUAUAGUAGCUGCCUACUUCAUUAAGCAAUCUACCUUGUGAUGCUGAUGAGUAUAGGUUGUGAUUCCUCACAGCGGAAAGCACUUUGUUACCUGAUCCAGCAAAGGACUCCAAUAUCUUUACACUCCCAUCUUAAAAGGAAGUCUGUGCUUAAGCUUUUUUUUUAUUCAUUCCCUAAUGGCAUCAAGGCUUCACUGCUCUCACAUUGUCUCAGAAGCCUACCUUUCAGUUUGUUUUGAGAAACUUAUUUUAUGCUACUUGAUAUCUAAGAUUGUAUUAAAUAGUUUGGCUAAGAGUUAAAAGUUAUUCAAAUGACAGCAAUGAUGAAGGGUUGCUGUGUUUUAAUCAGAUAUACAUUGGGAAGAAACUGUACAAAUGCCAAAGACAAGAAAAUAAAAGCCAAUGCAAGCUGAAAGAAGAAUGUGAUUGAUAAAAGCAACAUGAACAACUUUUUAGCUACUAUAAAUUGCAAUGAAGCACCACAAGAAUUGAUUUAUAUAAUUUCAGUAUUGGUUUCAAUGCGGUUCGCUAUAACUCAAAAGAUCUAUGCAGGUAUAUCAACACACUAUGUUAUUCUCAUAGAGAAUUAUGAAUAAACAUAAAUGUAGAAAACCAGCAUACAGGAAGAAAAGCAUCAUGUGGGUAUUGAGCAAGAACAUCUGUUCAGCCAGGGAAGUACUGACGUGUUUUUACUCAGCCGGUACUGCAUUUUUCAGUGCACUUAUUCAGUGCUUUUGGGGUGUUCCAGUCCAAGCAGGAAUAGCUAAAACAAGCAAGUUAUGCUUGUGUAUUUCCUAAAAAAACACCCAAGCCAAAAGCAAGAGCUGCUCGUAGCAGGAGGGAGGAAGGGAAGAGGGAAAAUGGAAAAUGAUGACUAAAUUUGUCCUCCGGGCUGAACAGUAACUUGGUCACCUGAGAGAGAGAAUUAUGAGCUAACUCAAAAGUCCUGCCUGCCUUGUGGUCCUGAUAAGGUUAUCAGAUGACCUGCUGAAAGUCACCUGUCAGGGCAGAUCUUCUAGCGCCAUGGGGGAAAAUACAAUCCCUUCUCAAAUGAAGGAAAUGCAGACAAAGGGUUUACACAAGAAAUUAUACUUAUCUUUGGCCAAAUUUCAGGUAAAAUAGCAAAACUGACUCAAUUCCAAGGACACUGACAUUUUUCAUAACCUAGAAAAAAUCGAAUUGUGUGAUGAACAAGGCAUAUGGAAAAUGUGUAUGAGACACAUAUUCUGUUUUGAGAGGAAUUAAACUCUACACCAAAACCUGAUUUCUAUUUUCCCAUUUUACAUUCAAAUUAACAAAUUAUGCCCUUGCUCAGUGACAGGUUUGAGGUCACUGAGUGACCUCAUCCUUUUAUCUGUUUGCUUGCUUUUAUGACAAGAGUCUUAGUUAAUAAUGCAACAAAUCAGCUGAAAAUACUGGCUUGGCUUGAGAAUUCCUAAUGAUCAGCCUGCGUAUCCUGAGCACACAAAAUCUUGACAUGUCAUUUACCUUCACCACAGUGUACAGAUAAGAGCACUUCAAUAAAUCCAAGCCCCCAAAUCAGUUCUUGGUGGGAGUCCUAAACUAGCAAGAGGACACCACCAAUUCCCAAAAUACCUUUAGACAAAGAAAGAGAUGGGGGUCCUGGCACACGUGAAAGAGGACAGGCCAGCCUUGUGUUACUUUUAAACAAGAUCUGAGUGAAAGACAUUCUUGUUUAUUUCCAUAUAUUUAUCCAUUUAUUGAAGAAAUGCUUGUAAAAUAGGCCUUGAAGAAAUUUAGAUUCAGUUUGUAGAUGUCAGACACAAACUCUCAUAACUUCCUUGUUGACAUCAGCUGUAUGUCUCAUGAUAGUCCAAGUUUUGGUGGUUUUAUUUUUUUUUUCCCCUGCUAUUUCUUUGUUUCUUUUUUAUUUUUUAAAAAACGAUCAGUUCAAGUAGAGGCAGAAAUUUUAAAACUUGCCAACACAAUUGUGAAACCCUGAUGGCUGAAUUCAUGUCAUAUCAUUCUACUGGCAGAAGUGCGGGGUUUAUUUUGCACAAUUUCCAUAAGGAUGAGAAGCAUUGUCAUAUCAAAGUAGAAAUGUGAGUAAACUUUUCUCUCCCAAAACCACAUAGUAUUUAUUUUGUAGUUACAAUUUCCUUUAACCAGAGAUUUUUGAAUUAGUGCUUAUGGUCUCAGCCUAGGAUAAACCUCCCUUUCUCUAACCCCCAGACGGCAAAAUAAUAUUAGCAUUGCUUACAUUUACAUCAUUGUAAAAAAUGAAUAAUGCAUUUUGUACUGGCUUAGUUAAAAGGUAAACCCCAACGUUUUGGGGAUAAGUUGAAAGGUAAACCAGGCCAUCUAUUUAAUGUGUAAAAAGAGAAAGCAAACGCCCAAAUGAAUUUUGACACUUCAAAGUAUUUAGACCUUUUGCAUCUCUAGACUACAGAAGUGCUUUCUGAAGAUCACAAGCCCAAUACAAAAUCUUUGUGAAUACCAGCAAAGUGAAUCCUACAAAUCCAUGCAAUUUCACACACAUGUAACAAUCGUUCAUCCCUGAGUGCAUGAGGUGCAGGACAGAGUCUAGAUCAAAUGUUAACCAAAGUUUUCGACUUCUCUCUCUCUAAUUUUCUGUCCCAGCCUGAAAUGUCCUCUUCUUUAAUAAUUUCUCUAACAUGACCUAUUUAUUGCAUACAGCUAUUCCCGCUACAAAUUUGGUGUUUCUUUUGGAAUAAAAAAAUCUCAGUGGGUGGCAUUCACCGGUUCGCUGUGAAUCAGAGGGUGACCCAAAUCUCUGACUGAAGAUGCACCCACAGGCUUAUGGGACAUGAAACAAAGAGGAACAAUCAGGUCCGGAUCCCCUUGUCCAAAUCAGUCAGUUAAAAAGAAAUCAAUCAAUAAACAAAUACAAAUAUCUGUGAAUGUUCAACAAAAACAAGGGUGCUCAGCAGAGCAACCUGCAGCCUGGUUCAACUUGGGCUACUCAGUUUUGCUCUGUUUUGUUCGAAAACUUUUAUAUGACCUCAGUUUCUGUUUGCAUGGAUGUCUGAAGAAUGUCUGUCAAUACCAGCACCUUUAUCUGCCUGGUUAACAUUGCUGAGAACAUGCGGUUAUUCUUUAUUUGUUAUUCUCAUCAAAUGAAUGCACAGUCUGAGCAGUAUCGUUGUCAAAUGCCAAUCACUCAGCACGAAAAGCAAAUAAUUAAAAUGGACAGAUGAUAAAUAACCCACAGUCCAGGGUCUGCUUUUAAUAAAUUGUCUGUUAACAAAUGAUAAAGAAAUACACAUGUAAUAAUGAGGACUGUUCUCAAACAACUUGGGAACUGUGAAAAAUUACAAAUUCAAGAUUAAAAUCAGUUCCAGUGAGUAAAUCGGUCAGCUCUUGUUCUUGACAAUAUCAUUUACUUUUUAUCACAGGGGAUCUAAGAGGAUAAUACAGAGUGCGUGUAGCUGUAGGUCACAGCAGCAUCACCCAUGGCUGCCCUGCAUCCAGCUGAGAGGAGGGUUUGAGGCUAGCUGGACAUUUUCCAGAAGAGCUAUUAUUCUGUAGUAAUUAUGUGUUUUGGAAAUGGUUUAAGCUAAAUCACUACACCCCCACUCUUUAUGUGGGAUUAAGCAUAUCCAGAGAAAGAGUUACUCUGGAAUAACCAUGGUACUUCUGGAGAAUUUCCAGAGUUAGGGAGACUUUGCUGCAGAGAGGAGCGCGGCACCCUGAGCCAGCAGCCUCCUCCCAUGGCCUUUGUUUUCUUCAGAGUCUGUCAAAGCACUGGCAGGUCUGAUUCCCUUCAGCAUUUAAAGACUAAGAAGGACAGUAUUCAAGGCAUUUUGGCUGAAUGACUUGGGUGAAGAAAACGGCAAUAAAAUGUGUGCACAAACUCGCCUAUUUCUAAAGUUUCUGAGAGCACAGAUUUCCCUAACUUCAGAAUGAUUAGAAAAAGCAUAAACAAUGAGAUUUUGAGAACUUCAAAGCUUAUUAAAUCCACAAUGUCAGUCUUUUGUGUAUGAAAUUGCUGUUUAAUCCAUGCGUACCGGGAGUGAAAGCUACUCAUAAAAUAAAAAGGAACUUUCUUACAGUUUUCCUGAAUGUAGUGCUUAGGACUGUGGAUGAGUCAUAUUUUCCCUGUUCAGUUGACUUUUCUAUACAUGUCUUGAAUGUGCUAUGUAUUAACGGCCAAGUAGGCCACCACAGCAGUUUUCUUUGAGAUUGGGAACCUGCUGAUUUGACCUGUUUAUCAAGAGAAAAGUGUCAUCUCAACAGGCCAAAUUGUUUCAUAUUUUUCCUCCCUAUUUUCAGCUUGUAAGCAAUUUCUGUUUAACCUCCUAGAGCCAAGUAAAAAGUGACUGUUUUUUUUUCUUCUUUUCUAAUAUUUGUACAUAAUUCAGGAAGAAAUGCAGAGACAUUUUUCUUUCUAUAAAAGUUUAAAUUGUCAAGUUAGAAAAACAUACUCUUUAUGUUCUUUAUAUAUGUCUGUGUAGAAUCUCUUUGUGUCUGUUUUUAAGCACAUGCAGUGGAAUUUAGGCUCUUAAAAGGGAAAAUAAAUGUCUUUAUUUAUGAACAAUGUUAAAAUGAUAAAUGGAAAAGUGCAAAACCCAUCAUGACAGAAAUGAGAAGACAAUCAUUGCCAUGCUCACACGAGAGAAUGGACUUGAGCUCUGUUGAGUGUGAUAGAGUCCUUCAGGUUGGAAGGCACUAUUCACUGUAAUUUAAGUUAGUAUUACUGUUAAAGAGCUUUUGGGUUUAAAAGUUGCCUAAGCUGCUCUGAAAUGUUUGAGAGAUUUACUUUCCUCACUUCUACUGGUACCAGUUAAAAGUAAGACCUCCUAGACCAUUGCAGUAGCCUCAUUAAGGAGAACUGAGCCAGCAAUACUUCCCUUUCUCCCAUAAAUUAGAUGUUGUCAAAAGAAAAAAAAAAAUGGGUUAAAAAGGCUACUUUUCACAUUCUUCAGACUGCUGCAUGCCACUUGGUCAAGAAUUGAACUUCCUGUGAGCUCCACAGCCUCCCACGUGUGAAAUACACCCUACAUGACAAUUUUAACAUCAGUUGCAUCAUUAACACAUGUUCUGUCUGCACAAUGUUUUUUUUUGCACUUUGCCAGAUGAGGCGGAGGCUAAAUUAAUUGUUACUGUGCACAGGCAAUUUUCUAAUGAAAACAAUAUGGGCAUUAUUAUUCUUGGAAAUGCAUUAGGAAAAUCUUACUCCACAUUGUAUAAUACACAUUAGGGUGACAGGUAGGUGAGGUGCUGGAAGAAGCAAGAAAGAAGAGUCCACAAUGACAGUAAAUACCUAUGUGCAUAUACUUGUCUGAACACACAAAUACAGCCACUCAUGCAUACACACACAAAACUCCGUUCAUUUUGAACCCUUGCCUUUGAGUUUGGCUUUUGUUCUCAUUUUAUACACUGCGACAAUUUUCAAGGCUUGCUUUUGUCCUGAGCUUUGUUGUAUAUCUUUGGUUUCUUACAGGGUGCUCCUUUUAGGUAACAUUCUCAUCUUCAUCAUCGUAUGAGACUGGGAGGGAUUAUUUGGUCUAUCCACAGCUUCCACACAAUACAUGUAAAGUCCUGAAGUAUCUUUUAAUACUAACUUGUCUCAAACAAGAAAACACCCAAAACUAAAUUAAAAAACAUAGAACUCAAAAGUGAAAUGCUAUGGUAAGAGAGCAAAGGAGCUUCAAGGGCUCAGCCAGUAUCAUGGACCUUUGUAGACGUGGGUGGAGCUGUCCAGGUGAUCCUUUCUUACAGGAAAACUGGUUUAUUUGACACCACAGAUUGGAGUUAAGAGGCCAGUGUCCCCAGCAUUAACUGAUUUGGAUCCAAAUACAACUUAGUUCCCUGCCAGUUCUUCACUUCACAGAAGAACAUAUGAAGAGAUACUAAGAAAUCGUUUUUCUGGAAACAGUUUUCUUCAGCUUUAAGGGAAGUGUGCAGGGGUGUGCAUGUAUUUGUAUAAAGGUAUUACUGGGACAUGGAGGGAAUUCUAAUUAAUAGCACCAGAAGUCCUACGGUUUUGUGUCAAACACAAAAAACCUGCAGCUUGGGUGACCACACAACCUGCUUGCUAUGGGCUAAAAAAAUUCUCUGCUUAUGAGAAAAAUAAUACACAUUAUUUCACUGCUCAUUCUAGCACCAGCACUAUAAUUAUUGCAUUCUCAACUAUCUUCCACAUUCCCUCUGAGCCGUGAAUUACAAGCUUUCAGCAUAUUGGAUACUAGUACUGUGGCAUGAUUAGAUUACCAUUUCCACAGGUUGCCAAAGCAGAAGAAUAGCUCAUCUAAGUAUGAAUAGAUUCAUUUACUUGAAGAGAAUUUUCUUUACCUUUCAGACUAAUCAUCUGUGUCUAACACAGGCUAAAAAGAACAGACAUUCUUUGCAGGUUAGCUUCUCUCAGAAAAUAAAAUGAACCCCCCCUAGUUUUUAUACGCAACUAAUUGAAGGAAUGCAGAUUUUGGGGUUUUGUCUGGUUGCUCAGAAGAGAGCUGUUGUUUGCAGAAUACAGAUACAGACCUGCUUUUUGUUGUAGACUGAACGCAUUAGUCACUGAGGAGGCCAGAGCAUAAUGCAAAGUAGCCAUUUUGUGUUCAUUUUAGUGCACAGCCUUCAAGAGGAGAAACACACAUAACCAUGUCAUUUUUGAUGUGCUGUUGAAUUGAAUAUAAAGAUUAUAAAUAUUUUAUUAGUCAUUUAUGGGUUAAAAAGGUAAUUUGCACAGAGUAAAUAUUUCCCUUUGGAAUUCACAAAAAAUAUAACAGGUUUGAAUUUGAAAUAAGAACCAGCAUUUGAGGAUAUUUGUUAUUUGCAAGCUACUUAUAGUGUGAAAAUUUAACUCUGUAUGUUCAGAAAUACUCAAAUCACCAGUAUGCCAGUAACACCUGUUCCAGAACUACCAAGCAGCCGUAACCCCAGCCUAAUAUGCAACACCUCUCAGAUUCACAGCUCUCGGGUUUUGCCCAAAUGCAUUCACAUCCUUGCCCUACAUAAAGGCAUACAGUAGACCGCCCCACAUGUUGCCUUUCCGGCUGUUCACGUCUUACAAAAGGUUUUUGGUGUAUGCGAAGGCUGACCCAUGCCAAACACUAGAGAAGUCAGUGAAAAUCCGUAGGUCCUUCCAUCAGUGAGCAACCUUUGUGUUGCAUCCCUUACGUUUGUACAUGAAAUUUCUGCCACACAUUUGUGGCCUGCUCAGCACUCUUAUCACCCACGUUUUAACUCCAGCUUAUGAUCUUAAGUACUGUGGCCUUUCAGUACUUAAGAGGGGCCUAUUAGAAAGAUGGGGACAGACAUUUUAGCAGGGCCUGUUACGAUAGGACAUAGUAAUGAUAUUAAACUUAAUGAGGGGAAGUUCAGGCUAGACAUGAGAAAGAAAUUUUUUACGAUGAGGGUGGUGAAACACUGGCCCAGGUUGCCCAGAGAGGUGGUAGAUGCCCCAUCCCUGGAGACAUCAAAGGCCAGGCUGCACAGGGCUCUGAGCAACCUGAUCUAGUUGAAGAUGUCCCUGCUUAUUGCAGGGGGGUAGGACUGCGUGACCUUUGAAGGUCCUUUCCAAUCCAAACUAUGCUGUGAUUCUAUGAUUAUUUUAAUAUGGUCUCCAGACCAUCUGCAAACCACCUACAGGGAUGGCAGUUUAGGAAACAUUGCCUUAUGAUAAUCUUCUGUAGUUAUUACAUUAAAAGCUUGUUAAAAAGGCAAAUCUAAACAACUUUGUAGAUGUUCAAGGAGAACCACAGAUUUCUUCUUGACAUGCAUCAUUAUGUAGUAAAUGAACAUUCGGUGAAACACAAGGAUAUUUAUUAUUCAACAGAUUACACUCGUUACAGCUUAAGCUAGUCUGGAAAAAUAAAAGGACAGCAUUAUUUAAUUAAUGAUGGUUUGCAAAUUACAUCCGGAGAGGGAAUUGCUGCCUUUUCCAUUUUUGUUAGCCCACAUGUGGCCAUGUGAGCACUGCUCACAGAAAUACUACUCCCUUCUCUGUUGCUCACACACGGACACCCACACAGUUCUCCUGACUUUGUCCUGAUCAUUCCUGAAUGUUUUUCCAUUCAAACAAGCCUCUAGGCAAACAAAAACAUGCCGCCUGCAGGAAAAAGGAGCCCUUUACCUGAGGGUGUCCAUGUCUCUCUGCAGGGCAAACACUCACUGUAUUGUCUGCCUGACAUUACAGCCUUUUGGAUGUUCCUCUUGAGUCUCACUGCCUCCGAAAACCCGGUGUGAUUACAGCCGAAUUCCUCCUUCCUUACAGACUCUCAGGACACCGUAUUUCUGCCUGGCAGCUCAAUGGAUCACGCUAUCACCAGCCCCUUGUGCAUCUGCUGUUUUGCUUUCUCUAACAACGUAGUAAACGUCACACUCUUUGCCCAAAAGGAUAAAGCCUCCCUCUGAGUGCCUACUCACUGCAUAGCAUAUGCACAAAUGAUUGAAGUUUUCCAACAAGCUGUUUAUGCACUCCUGCAGUACCAUCUUUCUGAGAAUCCCAGUGAUGACCUGACCCCUGUUUGCUGGGUAAUUUCAGCCUGGCUAAGUUCAGUUCCUUGCUGCGAAAGGAAAUCUGAAACAAAUACAAAGCACACUCACAAUCCACUUAGUAAAUAUUUCCAGAAAACAAAAAGAGGAAAAAUCUGCAAGAACCGGUAUAAAUGGCUAUAAAUGCCUAGAAAACACAGGUGCUUUGGGCAAGUAACUUAUCCCACCCUCCUUACAACAGCUAUAUUUGGAGGGGAUGAACUGUCCUUUGGUGGUGUCUGUUUCCCACCCUGUAGUAAAUGGCAGUACCAGAUGCCUAAUUUUGGAUGGCCAGUUGGGCAUGAGGAAUCCCAACUCCAGCAU